GUGAGGAAUAUUGCGCAAUGGAGGCAACUCUGACGCAGCCAUGCCGCGUGCAGGAAGAAGGCGCUACGCGUUGUAAACUGCUUUUAACCGGGAAGAAACCCCAGGACGUGUCCUGGGUUGACGGUACCGGAGGAAUAAGCACCGGUUAACUUCGUGCCAGCAGCCGCGGUAAUACGAAGGGUGCAAGCGUUAUCCGGAUUCAUUGGGUUUAAAGGGUGCGUAGGUGGAGCGUUAAGUCAGUGGUGAAAUCCUGCAGCUUAACUGUAGACUUGCCAUUGAUACUGGCGCUCUUGAGUGCGCUUGAAGUGGGCGGAAUGUGCCGUGUAGCGGUGAAAUGCUUAGAUAUGGCACAGAACACCAAUUGCGAAGGCAGCUCACUAAGGCGAUACUGACGCUGAGGCACGAAAGCGUGGGGAUCGAACAGGAUUAGAAACCCGGGUAGUCC
rnacentral:rRNA from 1 species